rnacentral:rRNA from 1 species
CCCUUAGAUGUUCUGGGCUGCACGCGCGCUACACUGAUGCGAUCAACAAGUUUUUCCUAUGUCGAUAGACACGGGUAAUCUUUUGAAAUCGCAUCGUGAUGGGGAUAGAUUAUUGUAAUUAUUAAUCUUCAACGAGGAAUUCCUAGUAGGUGCAAAUCAUCAGUUUGCAUCGAUUACGUCCCUGCCCUUUGUACACACCGCCCGUCGCUGCUACCGAUUGGUUGAUCUGGUGAAUUAUUCGGACUGCCGGCUGAAGGGGUUUCCUCAUCUGCCAGCGGAAAGUCUUGUUAACCCUAUCAACUAGAGGAAGCAGAAGUCGUAACA